GAUGAACGCUGGCGGCGUGCCUAAUACAUGCAAGUCGAGCGAACAGACGAGGAGCUUGCUCCUCUGACGUUAGCGGCGGACGGGUGAGUAACACGUGGAUAACCUACCUAUAAGACUGGGAUAACUUCGGGAAACCGGAGCUAAUACCGGAUAAUAUAUUGAACCGCAUGGUUCAAUAGUGAAAGACGGUUUUGCUGUCACUUAUAGAUGGAUCCGCGCCGCAUUAGCUAGUUGGUAAGGUAACGGCUUACCAAGGCAACGAUGCGUAGCCGACCUGAGAGGGGGUUGGGCACCCCGGGACCGGGACCCCGGCCCAGCCCCCUACGGGGGGCACCAGGAGGGAAUCUUCCGAAAGGGGCGAAAGCCUGACGGGGCAACGCCGCGGGAGUGAUGAAGGUCUUCGGUUCGUAAAACUUUGUUAUUAGGGAAAAAAAAAUGUGUAGGUAACGUUGCCCGUCUGGCGGGUACCAAACCAGAAACCCCCGGCUAACUCCGG
rnacentral:rRNA from 1 species